UAGGUAACCUACCUCAUAGCGGGGGAUAACUAUUGGAAACGAUAGCUAAUACCGCAUAACAGUAUUUAUCGCAUGGUAAAUGCUAAAAAGGAGCAACUGCUUCACUAUGAGAUGGACCUGCGUUGUAUAAGCUAAGUUGGUGGGGUAACGGCUCACCAAGGCCUCGAUACAUAGCCGACCUGAGAGGGUGAUCGGCCACACUGGGACUGAGACACGGCCCAGACUCCUACGGGAGGCAGCAGUAGGGAAUCUUCGGCAAUGGGGGGAACCCUGACCGAGCAACGCCGCGUGAGUGAAGAAGGUUUUCGGAUCGUAAAGCUCUGUUGUAAGAGAAGAACGUGUGUGAGAGUGGAAAGUUCACACAGUGACGGUAACUUACCAGAAAGGGACGGCUAACUACGUGCCAGCAGCCGCGGUAAUACGUAGGUCCCGAGCGUUGUCCGGAUUUAUUGGGCGUAAAGCGAGCGCAGGCGGUUUGAUAAGUCUGAAGUAAAAGGCUGUGGCUUAACCAUAGUAUGCUUUGGAAACUGUCAAACUUGAGUGCAGGAGGGGAGAGUGGAAUUCCAUGUGUAGCGGUGAAAUGCGUAGAUAUAUGGAGGAGCACCGGUGGCGAAAGCGGCUC
rnacentral:rRNA from 1 species